AUUGAACGCUGGCGGCAGGCCUAACACAUGCAAGUCGAGCGGAUGACGGGAGCUUGCUCCUUGAUUCAGCGGCGGACGGGUGAGUAAUGCCUAGGAAUCUGCCUGGUAGUGGGGGACAACGCUUCGACAGGAACGCUAAUACCGCAUACGUCCUACGGGAGAAAGCAGGGGACCUUCGGGCCUUCAGCUACAAGAUGAGCCCAGGUCGGAUUAGCUAGUAGGUGGGGUAAUGGCUCACAUAGGCAACGAUCCGUAACUGGUCUGAGAGGAUGAUCAGGCACACUAGAACUGAGACACGGUCCAGACUCCUACGGGAGGCAGCAUUGGGGAAUAUUGGACAAUGGGCGAAAGCCUGAUCCAGCCAUGCCGCGUGUGUGAAGAAGGUCUUCGGAUUGUAAAGCACUUUAAGUUGGGAGGAAGGGCAGUAAGCUAAUACCUUGCUGUUUUGACGUUACCGACAGAAUAAGCACCGGCUAACUCUGUGCCAGCCGCCGCCGUAACAC
rnacentral:rRNA from 1 species